rnacentral:tRNA from 1 species
GUCCAUGUAGUAUAUCUAUUACACUGGUCUUGUAAACCAGAGACGGGGAUAACUUCCUCCCCCAUAGACU